GAGCGUAUAGCUCAGCGGUAGAGCGUGUGCUUAGCAUGCAUGAGGCCCUGGGUUCAGUUCCCAGUACCUCCA
rnacentral:tRNA from 1 species